rnacentral:rRNA from 1 species
UACGGGGGGGGCAAGCGUUGUUCGGAAUUAUUGGGCGUAAAGAGCUCGUAGGCGGUGUGUCACGUCGGCCGUGAAAACCUGCAGCUUAACUGUGGGCGUGCGGUCGAUACGGGCAUCACUGGAGUUCGGCAGGGGAGACUGGAAUUCCUGGUGUAGCGGUGAAAUGCGCAGAUAUCAGGAGGAACACCGGUGGCGAAGGCGGGUCUCUGGGCCGAUACUGACGCUGAGGAGCGAAAGCGUGGGGAGCAAACAGG